UGGCCCAGAAAUUGUCUGGAGGGUUCAUUGGAAGCGUGCAGCUGGGUGCGUUUCCUGCUGUUUGCCUGAACACAUACCCUCAUUGGGAGACGGUGGGCAGCUCUACCUAUUAAAAUGUAAAUUCCUUUUCGGUUACGUGGUGGCAGCAGCAGCAGCAGCAGCAGCACAAGUGACAGCAAGCCCAGACUAGGAUGCAGCGGAUAGGAGAAGGUGAAGAUGGUGUGUAAGAAGUGUGUGCACCCCACAGGCAGGACCUGUCUUUUACCAAACAGUGGCUCCCAUAUGGAGGCAGUAUACUGUUUAUAUAUGACUGUGUGAUAUGCACCACUGGCUUGGCUUUUCAGUCGAUUUAAGGCUAGAAACAACAGGCGACUGGGCUGUCCCUCUGAUCUAAGCUUGGUAUAAUAAUGGCUGUCAGUUUGUGGACUUUUUUAGAAAACAGGAUUUUUUCUUUUAAUUGCAGGUUAAGGAAACGAAGCAUUCUGUUCUACGUCAAGAGAAAAUAAUCUGUUUAUCUUUUAGAAGUUUUGAGUAAUGACGUAAAAUACUUGUAUUUAUUAUUGUGUUAGAUUUGAGAGGUAUUUUAAAAUAAUAUGCGAAGAUUAUAUAUUAUCUUACGCUCUGUGUCUCUCUGUGCCUACAAAAUAUGAUAUAUAUGUAUCAUAUAUAAAUAUAGAUUCUAUAUAUGUAAAGUAAACUAUAACUUUUUUAGGUGAAGGAAAUGAAAAUAUUUUCAUUUAUAUUGCAUAUAUGUUGUACAUAUAUAGUCAUUGACAUUGUGUUUUUCUCUGCUAACAUUUUCAAUUUCACUUACCUCUCAAUUUUAUUAGAUUUCCAUUAAUAUACUCAGACAUGCUGAGGCACUCAUCAUAGAAAAUAUUUUUGUAACUUAUUAUGCAGCCGUCAUGUUUAGUAUGAGCCACUCGUCCAUCUAAAUGAACGCACAAUGACUAACUGUCAUAAGUAAUACGGUACUUUUGAAGACAAAAUCAAUACACAAAAUUAACACAAUCUUAUAUAAACAUGCGCGCCGUUCCUUCUCUGGCGUCACAGUAACUGGAUCACACUGUGUCCCAGGUCCGUGUUCAUGUCCAAAGGCAUGCAGUAUAUAAUACAAAGUAAUGUAAAAUGAUGACUUUUUGUGCAGAAGAGGUGCGCGCUUUGCCAAGCACUGUGGGUGACGUUGCACUUUUGCACCACUAGAUGGAGCUGUGCUCAUGCUGUAGACAGCUGAAGGAGACACGCUACAGAGUCCACUCUCAAACUCUCCUUCUCCAUGUUGUCCAAUGUGCUGAAGAGCAGAGACACAGCUGGCUGCUCCUGCUGUGGGUGACCACUCCAGAGCGUGUAUUGCGUCACUUUGUUGUUUCACAAAAUGAAGAAAAUUAAAGGAAUAAAAUGUGCAUUAUAUUUGAAUCCUUCAAACUCCGGUCCUUCGCAGCAUCUUUGAAACACUGUCGAGAAAAUUGGGUUUUAUCGGAGACUUUGAUCGCAGAGCUCGGAUGGUGCUGAGUCUUGUAUUAGAAGCUCGUUAUUCCCUGCAACAGAAAGACUGUGGAGGAAUUCACUUGAUGCUGUCUAUUGUGUGACAAUAGGUGGAAUUGAUUUAGCAGUUACAGGCUAGAUUUAUGCAGGGCCCCAACGCCAGUCUAAUGUCUGUUGCACUCAUGCAGCCUGUGUCCCACUGCUGCCUCUGAAGGUAAUAAAAAAACCCCUGAUAUUUCUGUGCUCUGUCAAAGGAUUUGGAAGAAGUCUCACGUCUGCACCUGUUAACUUGAGGCAAAUUUGGAUUAUAGCUUUUUAAGAAUUGUUCAUAAAUCACAUGUAAAUGUCAGGUGUUUUUGUGGUGCUAUCUAAACUCACUUUUAUGAGUAAAGGCAUGUACUGUAUAAGUAUAAUAUACUAUAUAAUAUAUUAUUACCACAAGAAAUAAAAAAAAAUGUUUGUGAUAAAAAUUAUAAGGGGAUUGUGAAAAAAAGAACAAAAUUCUGAUCUCGUAGGCCUUCAGUACUGAUAAUCCUGGCUCACUGACUGUGAAUAACUCUAAAGUUUCCUUUCAGAUCUGACUGUACUAGACUCUGAUUUAUAAGUUAAGACUUUGCACAUUAAAAAUAUAUAAAAAAACUUUCGGAUUCUUUGAAUGCCGUAAAACUGACUUACUUUAAUUAUUACUUUUAGGAAAUACCUGUUCCUAGAGUCGAGAUACAUAAAUUCAGUUUCUACCACUUUUUGGGUGAAGCUGGAGCCAAUCCAGUCAUCAUCUGAUUCAGGUGCCCGUCACUGGACAGUUGGCCUGUCCAUAAAAGAGCCACAUAUAGAUACAAACAACAAUUUAGAGGAUAAAUCUACCAUAACACUGUACGUCUUUGUAGUAGGGAAAUGUACUACUUGGAGUAAACCUACAUUAUGUAUAAGCAGAGAGAACAAUGUGAUAUAAUGUUGCAUUUUUGACCACCACAUGAAUACUGUAGGUGUUACUGUCAGAUUACCGAUAAUUAUAACAAGCAAUAACGAAAGGAAGUCUAUGAAAUCAAUUGCAGCACUAAUUGAGUUGAUAUAGUGAUGUGUGCACCGUUGCUCAACAGCGCCCUCCUCUACAGGUAACAGGUGAACGUGAUUGGUGACGGUCAACGGCUGACGUGCUCCAGGGAACACAGCACAAAGACUCUCAUUCUGUCUGAAAUGGCACAUUUAGCUGCAAUAAGGGCUGGAUUGAAGAAGAAGACCGGAGUCUGGAUGACGGGCCACUCCGAGACGCUGGCGUGCCGUAAAUGUCACCCGUCGUCAGCCGUUUGUGCAGCACAUGCCCUUGUAGGAGAGAAGGAGAGUGCCGAUGUUGCAGAUCCCAGACUUUGAUUUAGACACGAAAGGCAGACCGGCGGCAAACGCACCCAGGCGUGAAGGAGGCACUCGGAGACCGCACAAAGUGCAUUGGAGCCAGCGCCCUGAUGGAUGCCCACUUCAUGAAUUUUGAAUUAAAUUGGCCCUUGAUGAAUUUGAAAUGUGGUACCUCUGUUCCAAAGCAAUAGGAAUCCAAUAAAAAGCUGGUGCCAUACAAAUAAAGCUAUACAUUCCCCAAGACCAUGGAAUGACCCUCAGGUGGGGAAAAAAAUGACUGCAGCACAGGGAAGCAGCGGCGGAGAAAGCCUAGAAGAGAAGAUGGGAAAAAAGGUCCUGAUAUCAGCGUGGCAGAGAGAGGCGGCGACAGAUAGAAAGGCUGUGAUAUGAAGAAGACGAAGCAGUGGAAGAGCCGGCGAGAUAGAGAGAGUCUUAAAUGAAGGUGGAAGGGGAUUUCGCAGAGGGGUGUCGAGGGGGUGUCAGGUCUGGGUUCUAGCACAUUAGCCCUGUCCUUUUGAGUGGAAGGGAACAUAUUGGUCAGAGCCAAUCCCCACAUGGGGCUCGGACUGCCUGGAGCUCAUCAGUGAGACAUGCCAGGGCCUGGAGUGAAUCAGAAGCCCCCGUCCUAAGGCCCCCCCGAUUCCCCUAGAGGAGGCAGACACAGCCACUCAGAUCAGUCCGUGUUCCACAGAGCUGUCUGUCUCUGCCUCACCAGCACGAGAAGAGCAGCGUCACUCUGCCAGUUCUUACGCUAAUUACAGCUGAUUGUUUUGUUUGUAGUCCGGUGCCGUCGUAUUGACUCUUCAACAGUGAUGUUGUAUAAUUACCAUUUAGAAACAAUUCUAACAACAAAAGCUAGAAGAAAAAAAAAACCAAAACAACAUUCCUACAAAUGACAGAAAACAUGUUUUUCUGAACAGUCAGUCAAAUC